AGGGUAGAAAAUAUAAAUUACAGAAGUAGUGACAUCCUUUCCUCACAGAGGCCCAGGGCUGCCAAAAGCAGCUUCCUUGGUGGUGCACACAGCUUGUUGCUUGUGUGGAUUGCCCUAGGUGACCUUGAAAACAACC
ensembl:snoRNA SNORA70 Small nucleolar RNA SNORA70